AGCUCAGUGGUAGAGUGUACACCUAGCAUGUGUGAGGCCCUGGGUUAAAUUCCCUG
rnacentral:tRNA from 1 species